rnacentral:rRNA from 1 species
AUUGAACGCUGGCGGCAGGCCUAACACAUGCAAGUCGAACGAGUGGCGGACGGGUGCGUAAUUUCUGGUAAACUGCCUGAUGGACGGGGAUAACUACUGGAAACGGUAGCUAAUACCGCAUACCAUCAUAUUUGCCCCGGUGGCAUUGGCUUGUUGGUGGGGUAACGGCUCACCCAGGCGACGAUCCCUAGCUGGUCUGAGAGGAUGACAAGCCACACUGGAAAGGAGACAAGGUCAAGACUCCUAAGGUAGGCAGCAGUGGGGAAUAUUCACCAAUGGGGGCAAGCCUGAUGCAGCCAUGCCGCGUGUAUGAAGAAGGCCUUCGGGUUGUAAAGUACUUUCAGCGGGGAGGCGUUACCCGAAGAAGAAGCACCGGCUAACUCCGUGCCAGCAGCCGCGGUAAUAC